rnacentral:misc_RNA from 1 species
UGAUGUGCGGCCUGUGCCUCUUUCGCCACUGUCAAAGCAACAACAGUUGCAACUACUCAAGUCCUAUUACGAGUCAAAGUCUGAGCAUAGAAAGCCUAAACAACCAAUGUUGGAGGCUGUACAUGAGAUUUCCAUCUACAUUCACCGGUUUCACAAUCUUGAUUUGUUCCAGCAAGGAUGGUACCAGAUUAAGAUUACAAUGAGAUGGGAA